rnacentral:rRNA from 1 species
UAACGAAUCUUCCGCAAUGCACGAAAGUGUGACGGAGCGACGCCGCGUGUGGGACGAAGUCCUUCGGGAUGUAAACCACUGUCAGGGGUUACCAAGUUCUGAGGAGCCCCAGAGGAAGGCACGGCUAACUCUGUGCCAGCAGCCGCGGUAAGACAGAGGUGCCGAGCGUUAGGCGGAAUCACUGGGCUUAAAGCGUGUGUAGGCGGGUCGUUAAGUGUCUUGUGAAAUCCCACCGCUCAACGGUGGAACCGCUGGGCAUACUGGCGAUCUUGAGCAGUCCAGGGGCGAGCGGAACAAGCGGUGGAGCGGUGAAAUGCGUAGAUAUCGCUUGGAACGCCGACGGUGAAAACAGCUCGCUGGGGACUCGCUGACGCUGAGACACGAAAGCCAGGGGAGCGAACGGGAUUAGAUACCCGCGUAGUCC